UACGUAGGGGGCGAGCGUUGUCCGGAUUUAUUGGGCGUAAAGAGCGUGUAGGCGGCUUGGUAGGUCUGCUGUGAAAACUCGGGGCUCAACCCCGAGACGUCGGUGGAAACCACCUGGCUAGAGUCCGGAAGAGGAGAGUGGAAUUCCUGGUGUAGCGGUGAAAUGCGCAGAUAUCAGGAAGAAUAUCCGUGGCGAAGGCGGCUCUCUGGUACGGCACUGACGCUGAGGCGCGAAAGCUAGGGGAGCGAACAGG
rnacentral:rRNA from 1 species